CAUGAAACCUCCGGCUCGUGUUUAGCUUGUUCCGUCCGAGUGACUCUGUCUUCGGGGUAAAUAACUUGCUGAAGUCGACACGACGCUGUUCCCUGGAGGAGAAGAUGAGUGCGUGUGUAAGCAGAGCCGCGGGCCCGGUGUGGACGAGUCAAGGCGGAGAAGACGGGCGCACAGUCCCUGAGUUAAGCCCCCCCCCACGCACACACACACAAACAAAGAGGCGGCCACUGCGCGUGAGGCCGAGACGCUGAAAGUCCGGAUUUAAAGUGCGGAAAAUUAAGCCAUUGAAUCUGCCUGUCCAUGAUGUAUUAAGACACACUAUGAGCCAGUAUGAUCCGACCAGACCUUACAUCAGCAUUGAGGAGUUCAGGAGUUGUCGGAGAAGAAAGAGGCUGAUUGAAGCGGGACAGAUGACAUGGAUCCAUCCUUCCACAGCCAGGAGCGCACCGACCUGUGUCCCACACUUCAUAUAAGACUGGAAGCUACACUGGAUCUCACAGCUACACACCACAGACGUCUACACACUGGAGAAGAUUCAGACAGAGUCCCACAAAGAAGCCAUGACCCCGAGGCUGCAGACAGACAUUUCAAGCUCCACCUGAGUUUUUCACUGGCUAGGCCAACUGUGUUUGGACAAUAUUUGUGCUGUAUGUAAAUAAAGCUUUGACUCCCCAUA